rnacentral:lncRNA from 1 species
AACUAGGACCAUGACCUAUCUACCGCUCGAUUGAAGUUUGCAGCAUAGCAGAGUUGUGGAUUUAGUAUGCAGAUUAGUUAAAACAGGGUAAGAUGGCAAAAUGCUCAAACACUUGAGAAAAGAGGUAUGUGAAGUGUUUCUGUUACAACAGUCAAUAUGUGAAGUCUUUAUUAAAAACGUAUUGCAAUACCACAUGCCCUUGAAAUUAGAUAAGUGUGUUUAACUCAGCUAAAUGUUGGUAGGGAAAUUGGAAUAGAUUUGUCUAAAAUUAAGAGUAACAAAUUGGAUUGGAUCAUUCAUCUCAACUUUCCCUGUGGAAUCAUAGAUUAGUGUGUUUAACUCAACGCAUGAGUUUAUUAGUUAAAAACCAUAGAAUUCUGUAUUAAUUUUGUCCUCAACCUAUGCUUCUUAGUUUACAGUUUCUUUCCUUCUUUAUAAGCUCUCAGUUUUCUUUAAGUAAUUAUUAUGUUCUUAGGUAAGUGGCCUACUGUGAUCGUGCUAGAAAUAAUAAAAUGAGAAUUAUGAAGACAAGUUAAUCAAGUUGUCACUUUUCACUAAGUGUCUUGCUUCAAGAAGGGGAUCUUAUCGCGACGUGUAAGAGUUGUCGCUGUGUGAAAAGGAAAUCAUGUGUUCUAGCCGUGCAAAGUGCAAACAACAUCUUGCAAAAAUGCAAAGUAAGGUUUUGAACAAUAGACCAAAUGUGUUCGGCCCCUCUCUAGACCCCACACAUAGUGGGAGGUUAGUGCACCGGGCUGCCCUUAUUUUUAUAUAUCUUGUUUCAAAAUUUCUUAACUGAUCAUGGGAUGUUUGGAAAUAUAACCUUUCUUUAUUAAUUUAGAUGCUAUGUUCUAGCAUCACUCUGGUGUGUUUGUCUGGCUCUUUCUCUAGGUUGGGCAUAAGUGUGUGUGCUUCUAGCUUGUAAAAUGUAAAAUCAAAAGCUGAUAACAGGAGAAUCUUAGUAGUCCAGUUGAUUGGCUACUUGAAUUUUCACCUUGUUGGUGGGGGUUCGAUUCCCCUCCUUGCAAUAUCUUCCCCCAUUUCCCCUUCCCCUCCUGCUAUGCACAAUGAAAAAAAUGAUAACAAUAACUAUAUAAGAGCUGUAACAUUACCGAGAUAUGGUGUGUUUCUCACGUAGAAAGAUGACCAUUGUGUCGUUUCUUCUUGACUUAUUAGUGAUGAUAUCUUUUUGAUUCCCUCUUCAAUUCAGUUCUAGGAAUUGGGUCUUAUGUGAACAACACAUACUGAAGAAGAUGAGUGAGUCUAAGAAUUGGUUGGUUAGUAGAAAUCAUGAUCUAAGGAAGCAAGGAUCAAAUGAGGGAUUUUUUCAAACAUGUAAACUUGAGAAAUUAGCUGUACUAAAAUUUGUUGCCGCUGGUAUGUUCAACUUGUGUGAUUUCAGAUUCAGCAAUCCAUUUAUGUCAUGUGACUUCAGAUUGAAAUACUAUUGGGAAUUCCCUUUCCAGUAAGUCCAGUAGUACUCUUGUCACCUGACGCGUUUGGGUACAGUAACGUAUAAGGCAUCUGUAUAGGUCCUUUUCGGUUCUUCAAUGUAUUGUCGUUGUUCCUAUCCAUUAUUCUGUUCUCGAUUUCUACCAGUUUGUCAUGGAAUCCCUCAAAUGCAUGUCGUGGUUUACUAUCAGAAGUCCAUUCAGGAGCAUCUCUUUGUCCAAGAUAAAUCUCAUCUGAAGAAUGCAUGGAUAACAUCUCUAUCAAAGAGAUGCCAAGAAGAGUUUGGAACUGGGCUGUGAUGGUCUUUAGGUAGGCUCGCUCAUGGUUUGACUCAAGCUCAACAUACUCAGGAGUGCCUGGCAUUGGCAUAAAGCGCCGGCUUACGGUUGGGCGAUUUGGGAGAUAACCAGCAUAAGGAUAUUGCCCAAAAUUAACUGCUGCAUGAAGAGCAGAAGCCACCCAUAUGAUUAUGGUGCAUGUUUGGACAAGCUCAGCUCUUGUCUGCAUCUGAGGCCACCAUGGUUCAUCUUUCAAGUCACCAUGACCCACGUUGCGAACUUCUGUCCACCAUGAUUGAAGUUCAGGAUCAUCUUGGAUCAUUUCAUCCGCUAUGUAAUAGAAUGAGCAAUACUCUUCCACCCAGGUUUCAAUUGCUGACCAAAUCUCAAGUCCAUCAACGGCGUAAGGAUAAUCCUCUAUCAGAAGUCUAAGGCCAUGAGGCUGGCUUGGGUCUGGUACUGCAACUCCUCUAUAAAUUAAAAAUAAUUGAGAGCAUUACUUGGACAAGAUGGAUAUGACAUUGAAUUUUAAGCUGUAACAACUAGUGACCUACCUCUUAAGUAGAUCUGCAGGGAGUGCCUGCUCAGUGAACACCCAAUUCUUAUAGAUGGAAGAAGACAUUUCCAUGGCAUACUUGGAUGGAAAUACUGUCAACUCAAGUAUUCCACCUGCAUUAAUGAGGAUCUGCCGAGCCAAAGCAUUGAUGUUCAUUGUAUCACGGAAGUGGGGAUGUAGAAGCUUAUAGAUUGGAUGAAGCACACUCAAUUGUCUGUUUGUUGCUAUAAUAAAUGGCUCUAAAGCUGCAUGGGUAUUCAACCUGCAAAGUAUGUAACAAAAUUAAUGUAGUGACUUCAAGAGGUGACCUGCUUCUAUAGUUUCUACCUUUUCAUCUGCUUUGUUAAGUAGCUCACCAGUGACUGACGAGCUGAUGAUACCCAGAAUCAUUUACAGCAACAUAGGCUUUAGCCAGAUGCCAGACAUAGCCUUCAGCACUCUCAUCAUUACAUGGGGUAAAUACUUGACUGCUGGAACCAUGUUUAUCUCCUUGUGGGUGUGGUAAGCUCAGUUCGAUUGCAAGUGGCUUCAAUGUUCCAUCAUCUUGGAGUAAAAGGAGGGUCCGACUAGCAUAGAUCUUAUUGGAUGUUGAGUUAAUCCGAUUAAGAUAAGGCAUAAGCCCGUCAUGAUAAUCUAAGAUGAAUAGCCUGUUAUACUUUAUUGCCUGUGACCACAAAAGAUAAAUGUGUAAAAUAUAUAGAAUCUAAAAUGGAAACAGAUGAAUAGUUUCCAUAUACAAAGGAUGCCUUGGUUUUCUCUUCCUUUCUUUAUGAUAAAUCACCAGAAAAAAGUUGGUCCUCAGAAAAAGAAAAAAAAAACAGAAAAAGAAAUGAAGAAUGAGUAUUACAUCAUCCACAGUUAGUCCAUCCAUGUAUUUCUCAAUCUGCUCUCUUGUGAUUUUACUAGUUUGGUUGCCAUAUACUUCAGGAUUUAGCUUGCUUGUGGGUGGAAAUUCCUGAUAGGCAUUUAGUCUUUUAGUAUCUGCAUUCAAAGAGUACAAAAACACAUAGAAAAGAUAAAAAAAUUCGUAAUUGAUAUUACCUGGAGACGCUGGAUAAUCACAGGAUUGACUCCAGCCAGCAUUUCACGUCCAAACUCUUCAUCUGUCCUCCAUGCAGAGUUAUCUUCUGUAUUUUUUUUUUUUUUGGGAAAGGGUUCACAAUUAAUUUACUUUUUCACCUUAGGAAGUACUCAGAGGCUAAAGUAGUUGUGGAGCCAGAGAAAGAGAACACAUAAGCACCUUUAAUUACAUGAGGAAUUGGAAAUUUAUGAAGUUGUCCUUUAAGCAUCUCCCAUGGCAUGCUUUCCGUGGAGUUAUCAGGAACUCGACCUUUAUAGACUUUUUGUACAUGUUUGAAGCUGUUAAACUCAUUAAAAGGUUUGGCUAACAGAGAUGCAAGCUGUGGAAUUAUGACCCGACCCAUUGAUUUGGCACCAUAUCGAAGGAAAUCCAUAAAUUUCACAUGGUUGAAACGUUCAUCUCGUGGAACAUAAAUGUUCAAACUCAGAAGUGGAAGCCGGCUCUCUAAGCUAGAAUCUGUAACAGCAAACUUAACUCUUUCAACAUGUUCUAUUAGUGGUUCUAAGACAACACCUGGAAAUAUGAUGACAUUAAUAUGUUUGCAGCCUAACCUCUUUUAGUCAGUGGACGGCCCGUUCUUCCCCUUCGGGGGUAUGGAUAAUCCUUUCCCCCACCAAGCACUGGUCGACCAUGUCCUAAAUCAUUGUAGACUGCAUAGUCGUAAACCCUGUCCCAUUCCUCGAGUUUGCCAGAACCUGUACCCUGAAGAUUAAUGAGCUCCUCAUUCCUGUAUGGCCGAAGGGGUUCUGGUGUGUUGCAUGGCAGGUAUGUCUGAUAACACCAAAAAUUAGAGAUUCAGUCUCUAUCAUGAUCCAUAAGUUUGAAUUAAAUCCUGUACGCACGACUUGGUUAAGAUUUAGUAUGUCAGUGUAGGUAUAAUGUGAGAUUAGAGAACUUCAACUAGUUUGGAUUGAGGAAUAGUUGAUUGAUUGAUAUGACAGUCUUAUUUUCAUCUAUAUAAAAACUCUAGGUUUACAUAGCCUUCUAUCCUGUCAUACUUUAGGACUGUCAUCAUAAUCCUGUAAGUCAGGAAGUUCAGAACUAUUUUGAAGAGGAACAUAUCUUAUUUAACUUGAAAAUGUAUUUUUUUUUUUUUUUGUGUAUCUGGGAAUCAUACAGUUAGGUUUAACCUAUCAGUAUGUAUUUUUUGCCUAGAAAAUUGAAGUGCAUCCUCAACCUUAGUGCUUUCUUCUGCAAUUACGUGUAAUAAGCUCUGCCAGUUCCUGUUGAGUGAUUACAAUGUUUUGCAGGCAUCAUAUAGAUUCCUGGAGUAAGGUUAAGAAAUAUGAAUACCUUGUUGCUAAAAAACACCCGAUCGUACUUGUAGCGAUGUGCUGGAUACACCCAAGAAUUGCAGACGAAACGAACUUCACCAUGUCCGGGAAUAUCUUCUAAAGCAACGGUCUUCAGGUAAAACUGGCUAUGAUGAUAGUUCUUUAUAAUGAAAGCACCUGGAACUCCUAUUGACUCAUCCAACUCAAAUGUAAUAUUGAAUGUAGCUUCUUCCACUGAUAUCCAAGUCUUGCUGGAUGUCCAGUCCAAAAUUGCUGGUUUUCCCACCUUCCCUUUUGAUCCAUUUCCUUUAAGAAUGAAAAAAAAAAAUUGUGCUUCAAUGUUACUGUACAGAAUAACAUACAUUCUGCAUUUAUUGCAUUAAGGCUUCCAAAUUAAUCCGAAGUAGUUGAUUUCAAACAUUUAAACGACUGCAGAGAAGGAACUAUCAAGGUUUUCUUAUGGUAUUUUUGCUUCUAAAUGGGAGGAAACCAGGGAAAUAAAACCUUUAGAUUUAUUCUGCUGCUUACUUUCGCAAAAUUUGUUGGUGAAAAUGGAAUAACCAGGCAUUCAGAAUUCAGGUAGUGGAGGUUCAGGAGUUAAAAUUUUGAAACUCCAGAAUAAGAGUUUGUUACUAAAAUGGCGUCGGAGGUUUAAUGAUUUUAACAAUGAACUAUGGAACAAUGUUAUAACCAUUAAAUAUAUGGUAAGAAUGAGGAGAGGUGCACUAACAGUGUAAGAGGUGUGUAUGGUGUAUCUGUUUGGAAGCCUACUAGGAGUCUAUGGGAAGAAUUUUAUGACUGUUUAAGCUGAAAGUUGGCAAUGGAAGAAGAGUGAAGAUGUGGUCAAAUAGGUGGCUAUGACACUUCCUUAAUUGAGCAGUUUCCAGAUCUUUAUGCAAUCAUAUCGAACAAGCACUCUAUGGCUGAUUUCUACUUUUAUUUAAGAAGGAACUUGGAUGACUGGGAGAUUGAUUGCAUAAAUGACUUCAUUCAACAGCUAAAACCUGUCUCUAUUUGAUGAUCAGGUGGCUGAUUCUUUGUUGCGGACGGUUAAGAAAAUGGUAAAUGUACUGUCAAAGUAAUGUUAUAAAAGCCUCUUGAGGAAAAUAGGUGGAAUCCAUGACUGUUGACCGUGGAAGAUAAUCUGGAAAUCUAUUGUCCCCGUAGAGCUGCUUGCUCCACUGCACUGUUACCAAGAAAAUAUGGUCAAUGUUCCGGAGCAUUUUUGGAGUCCAAUUGGUUACGCCAGGAAGAAUAAAACUUGCCUUACACAGCUCGUAUGCACAGCCAUUUGCUAGGGGCAGCAAACACUGCUGCAAUGCAGUUCCUACUUGCAUAUUCUGAAUACUUGACUAGAUAGAAAGCAACAGAUGUUUUAAUGAUAAGAGUGAUAACAUUGCAAAUGUAAUAUCUAGAUGCUGUACGGAUCUUUCUUUGUGGUGUGGGAAGAACAUUGUAUCUGACAUAAUAACUAACAAGUAUAAUAACUAACAAGUUUGUUUGCAUCUCUUUGCUCAGCUCUAGGGAGAAAAUGUAAAUUACCAGGAUCAGCAU